UACAGAGGGGGCGAGCGUUGUUCGGAAUUACUGGGCGUAAAGGGCGCGUAGGCGGCCCGCUAAGUCGAACGUGAAAUCCCCAGGCUCAACCUGGGAACUGCGUCCGAUACUGGCAGGCUUGAAUCCGGGAGAGGGAUGUGGAAUUCCAGGUGUAGCGGUGAAAUGCGUAGAUAUCUGGAGGAACACCGGUGGCGAAGGCGGCCAACUGGUCCGGUACUGACGCUGAGGUGCGAAAGCGUGGGGAGCAAACAGG
rnacentral:rRNA from 1 species